AAGGAGUCAUGUUUAUUAUGGAGGACAGUGGUAGAGAUGAAGGAGUCAUGUUUAUUAUGGAUGACAGUGGUAGAGAUGAAGGAGUCAUGUUUAUUAUGGAGGACAGUGGUAGAGAUGAAGGAGUCAUGUUUAUUAUGGAUGACAUGGGGGUAGAGAGGUAGAGAGAUGAAGGAGUCGUGUUUAUUAUGGAGGACAGAGGUAGAGAUGAAAGAGUCAUGUUUAUUAUGGAGGACAGUAGAGAGAUGAAGGAGUCGUGUUUAUUAUGGAGGACAGAGGUAGAGAUGAAAGAGUCAUGUUUAUUAUGGAGGACAGUGGUAGAGAUGAAGGAGUCAUGUUUAUUAUGGAUGACAUGGUGGUAGAGAGGUAGAGAGAUGAAGGAGUCAUGUUUAUUAUGGAGGACAGUGGUAGAGAUGAAGGAGUCAUGUUUAUUAUGGAGGACAGUGGUAGAGAUGAAGGAGUCAUGUUUAUUAUGGAGGACAGAGGUAGAGAUGAAGGAGUCAUGUUUAUUAUGGAGGACAGUGGUAGAGAUGAAGGAGUCAUGUUUAUUAUGGAGGACAGUGGUAGAGAUGAAGGAGUCAUGUUUAUUAUGUAGGACAGAGUUAGAGAUGAAGGAGUCAUGUUUAUUAUGGAGGACAGUGGUAGAGAUGAAGGAGUCAAGUUUAUUAUGGAUGACAUGGUGGUAGAGAGGUAGAGAUGAAGGAGUCAUGUUUAUUAUGGAGGACAGUGGUAGAGAUGAAGGAGUCAUGUUUAUUAUGGAGGACAGUGGUAGAGAUGAAGGAGUCAUGUUUAUUAUGUAGGACAGAGGUAGAGAUGAAGGAGUCAUGUUUAUUAUGGAGGACAGUGGUAGAGAUGAAGGAGUCAUGUUUAUUAUGGAGGACAGUGGUAGACAUGAAGGAGUCAUGUUUAUUAUGGAGGACAGUGGUAGAGAUGAAGGAGUCAUGUUUAUUAUGGAGGACAGUGGGAGAGAUGAAGGAGUCAUGUUUAUUAUGGAGGACAGUGGGAGAGAUGAAGGAGUCAUGUUUAUUAUGGAGGACAGUGGUUGAGAUGAAGGAGUCAUGUUUAUUAUGGAGGACAGUGGGAGAGAUGAAGGAGUCAUGUUUAUUAUGGAGGACAGUGGUAGAGAUGAAGGAGUCAUGUUUAUUAUGGAGGACAGUGGUAGAGAUGAAGGAGUCAUGUUUAUUAUGGAGGACAGUGGUAGAGAUGAAGGAGUCAUGUUUAUUAUGGAUGACAUAGUGGUAGAGAUGAAGGAGUCAUGUUUAUUAUGGAGGACAGUGGUAGAGAUGAAGGAGUCAUGUUUAUUAUGGAGGGCAGUGGUAGAGAUGAAGGAGUCAUGUUUAUUAUGGAGGACAGUGGGAGAGAUGAAGGAGUCAUGUUUAUUAUGGAGGACAUGGUGGUAGAGAGAUGAAGGAGUCAUGUUUAUUAUGGAUGACAUAGUGGUAGAGAUGAAGGAGUCAUGUUUAUUAUGGAGGACAGUGGUAGAGAUGAAGGAGUCAUGUUUUUUAUGGAGGACAGUGGUAGAGAUGAAGGAGUCAUGUUUAUUAUGGAGGACAGUGGGAGAGAUGGAGUAGUGUUUAUUAUGGAGGACAUGGUGGUAGAGAGGUAGAGAGAUGAAGGAGUCAUGUUUAUUAUGGAUGACAUAGUGGUAGAGAUGAAGGAGUCAUGUUUAUUAUGGAGGACAGUGGUAGAGAUGAAGGAGUCAUGUUUAUUAUGGAGGGCAGUGGUAGACAUGAAGGAGUCAUGUUUAUUAUGGAGGACAGUGGGAGAGAUUAAGGAGUCAUGUUUAUUAUGGAGGACAUGGUGGUAGAGAGGUAGAGAUGAAGGAGUCAUGUUUAUUAUGGAGGACAGAG
rnacentral:lncRNA from 1 species